CACAGAUCUUCUCACCACUGAGCUGCACGUCUCAUAAUCUGGUCAAAGUAACUGCGAUUUACACCAUCAAUUAUCUAUGGGGAAGAUUGUACAAGAGUGAGUUUACAGUUUGUUUCUCCACCACUCCCAACUCCCCUCCCCUGAAGAACAGUAUAAAAAGAACGUGCAAAACAACAGAGAGACAGAAGAGAAAAGAAAUGAAGUAGACGUUUCAGAGUGUUGACAAUGAAGCUGUGUUUGUGUACGCUGCUGUUGCUGUGUGUUCUGACUGACACAGGAUACUCUGAAAUAUUGACAGAGUUCUCAAUGAGGAAGAUUGUACAAGAAUUUGUCGAUUUGAUUCCACACUUGACGCCAGAUGAGAAAUACUUGCAGUUUUCAUUCCUCUUAGCUCUAACCCCCAGCGAGUGUCGAACUGGUGACGUGGAAUACAGUAGAGAUGAUAUCCCAGCAAAUCCUACAAAUAUCAAUGUUAAUGAUAACUACAUUGCUGCCAGACCUGAUCCUCGUGGCACAGCUAUAGAACGUAAAAGAUGCAGUGAAUUCAAACUGUUAUUCUCUUCUGAUAUAAAUCAACAGAGCCCUGCUGUGAGGUUUCAGGCUAAUGGUAAUCGAAUCCUCCAAGGUGGAGGCUGUGUGAUAUUCUUCACCACAAACGCCCCGUGUUUAGAGAAAUGUCUUAGCAAUAAUGAAGAUUGUAAUAUUGUUAACAGACUGGGUGCUGCGCCAUUUAAUAACUGGCGCAACUUGGGGAAUGUGCAGCAGUAUUUUGUUUAUUUGUAUCCCCGGAAUGAUAGGAGACAGAAAUUUGGUGAGAUUGCUAAUAUAGGGUUUAUUAUUAGCAGGUGCUACAAACGUAAUGGUGUGCUUCAGUGUAAUACUAACUGCAAUCAAGGAAACAACUAUUGUAUGAACUUCAAAUAAAGAAGCAGGUGUAUUCUUUCCCGCUAAAUGAUUCUGUAUCUCUGCUAUCGCUUGGCAAUGAUUGAAGUCAGUGAAUUGUCAUUCACAGGAGACAGAUGUGACGGCAGCAGUGUUCUGUGUGUUAGUGAGACUGCGUUUGUAAUUAGACCUUUCAUGAAAACUCUUCCACGUUUAGUAAAAUACCUGAGUGUACAACCUGCCUGAAACACACAGACAUUAACAUGUUGUCAAUCAUAUCAGAUUCCAAUAACUGAAAUAAGAAUUACAGAAAUUGUUGAAAAUACACAAAAUAUUACUAAACAUUUGCAUAAACAACUACAAUUAUUUAUUGGAAAUAUGCAUUUAAAAAUACAUGACUAAACAUUUGCAUUACUAAAGAUACACAAGUAAGCACACACAUAACUGCUCACCUGAUUGAAUGUGAAUGACACUGUUAAUGACAAUCCUCUGUCUAUAUUACAAUCAACACACAUCUGCAUCAUUUCUACGACUUUAGAAUCUGUUUCUACUUCCUGAUGAUAUCACAUUUCUAACACAGAGUGUCAAGAACACAGUAAACACCAGCACCACAAGCAGCUCCAGAUGUGCAAACAGCAUCUCUGCAAUUGUAACUUUCAUUGUGAACAUUCUUACAAGUGUGUUCACCUUCAAACACUCUGAAGUGCAUACGGUAGAGCUGUUUUUCAUUUCCAGUGACGGUCAUGUGACGCAUUCAAGACAAAGUCUAUUGUAUGAACUGGAUUAGAUUUUGUGAUCACUGAUUUUGUGCCAUUGUAACUCUGUAACUUGCUUUCUGUGAUACUGUCUGCUAUCUCUAAUAAAACUAUUGCAAAGCAACAUUACUUUUAAAUCCAGUCAAACCUGCUCACG